rnacentral:rRNA from 1 species
AGUUUGAUCCUGGCUCAGGAUGAACGCUAGCGGCAGGCCUAAUACAUGCAAGUCGAACGGUGAUAGCAAUAUCAUAGUGGCGCACGGGUGCGUAACACGUAUGCAACCUACCUAUUAUUGGGGGAUAGCCUUUGGAAACGGAGAUUAAUACCGCAUAAUACGAUUGACUGGCAUCGGUUGAUUGUUAAAGCUUAGGCGAUAAUAGAUGGGCAUGCGUCCAAUUAGUUAGUUGGUUAGGUAAUGGCUGACCAAGACGAUGAUUGGUAGGGGAUCUGAGAGGAUAAUCCCCCACACUGGCACUGAGAUACGGGCCAGACUCCUACGGGAGGCAGCAGUAGGGAAUAUUGGGCAAUGGGCGGAAGCCUGACCCAGCCAUGCCGCGUGCAGGAAGAAGGCGUUAUGCGUUGUAAACUGCUUUUUUAUAGGAAGAAGGAUCCCUUGCGAGGGAAGGUGACAGUACUAUAAGAAUAAGCACCGGCUAACUCCGUGCCAGCAGCCGCGGUAAUACGGAGGGUGCAAGCGUUGUCCGGAUUUAUUGGGUUUAAAGGGUGCGUAGGCGGUUUAUUAAGUCAGUGGUGAAAGACGGUCGCUCAACGAUUGCAGUGCCAUUGAUACUGGUAGACUUGAGUGAGAU